GACGAACGCUGGCGGCGUGCUUAACACAUGCAAGUCGAGCGGUAAGGCCCUGCUUUUGCACCAUUCUGGAGAGCAGCGAGCGGGUGAGUAACGCGUGGGGAAUCUGCUUUUGUGCGGGGGACAAUAUGGGGAAACGAAUGCAAAUACCGCAUAACAACUUUAAACAUAGGGGUGAAGGUUGAAAUAUGCAAUUGCAGCACGCAAAGAUGAUCUCGCGUUGUAUUAGCUAGGUGGUGAGGUAAAGGCGCAUCAAGGCGAUGAAACAUAGCCGACCGGAGAGGGUGGUCGGCCGCAUUGGGACGGAGACCCGGCCCAAACGCCUACGGGAGGCAGCAGUAGGGAAUCUUGGGGCAUGGGCGAAAGACUGACCACGAGGCGCCGCGGGAGUGAGCAACGUUUCCGGGUGGUAGAACUCGGUUGGUAGGGAAGAACGUUGGUGCGAGUGGGAAGCUCAUCGAGUGACGGUAAUUAGCAAAGAAGCAACGGCUAACUACGUG
rnacentral:rRNA from 1 species